UCCCACUGUCGUCCCUUCGCCUUCGCCUCGGAGGGAGACUCCAAAAUCCGAAAGCCCUGCACCCUUUUCCCCACCCACCGCCCGAAAAAUUUGAAAUUAUUUUCGCUUCCCUCUUCGCCGACCUCCGAGCCCCGAGCCCCCGCGAUGGCGGAUCCGCCGCCUGUGCUCACGCUCCUGGUGCAGAAGGGCCCCUGCAAGGGGGCGACCCGGCGGGGCCGCGCCGGCUCGGCGCUCCGUGUCGGCCGCGUCCCCAAGGGCAACGACCUCGCCGUGCGCGACGCGGGCGCGUCGCAGAGCCACCUCUCCGUCGAGUUCCUCGCGCCGCCCGCGGCACGGUGGGCCGUCACCGACCUCGAGUCCUCCAACGGCACCCUCCUCAACGGGGCGCCCCUCGUGCCCACCGUCCCCGCCCCGCUCUCCGACGGGGACCUCAUCAAGAUUGGGGAGAGCACCGUGCUGUCCGUCUCCAUCUCGGCCGAUGAGGGCCCGCAACCACCCCCCGCGGCGACUAGGCGGUCCGCGCGCAGCGCAGCGGCGGUGGCGGAGGAACAGGGUCCCGCGGUUACGCGCAGGGCCGGACGGAAGAAGGCUGCUGCGGCGGAGGCUCCCGAAGCAGAGAAGGAAGAAGCUGCAGUUCCGACGCGACGCGGCGGGCGGAAGAAGGCCACGGAGCCACCCGAUUCAGAGAAGGAAGUGAAGGAGGAAGCUGCAGUUCCGACGCGCCGAGGUGGGCGGAAGAAGGCCGCGGAGCCCCCUGAAGUGGAGACGGAAGAGGAAGAGGAGGAAGUGGCAGUGCCGCGCCGUGGCCGGCUGAGGAAGGCUGCAGCGACGGCCGCCCUUCCGCCACAGCCGCAAAGUACGAGGUCAACGAGAGCUGCUGCUAGGAGAGGUGAUGCGGUGGGGAGUGGAAACGAUGAGGGGAAGGUGGAGGGGACCGGACGGGGGGCAGGACGGGUUACAAGGGCAAGUGCAAGGAAGGCCACGCAUGCUGUUCCUGAGGAGGACGAAGAGGAGGGAGAGGUGCCUGUGAGCAGAGAUCAGGUAGGGAAUCCUCCAAGGGCGACAGGCCCCAAGGGUGGUGAAGACAAGGAUACCGUAAAAACCAGACAUGGAGCUUCAAAUACAUCAGAGGAGGUGCCGGCGGCUGGGAGAGGCAGAGGAGGCCGAAGAAAGGCUACAAGGGCAAACACAAGGAAGGCUGAUGAUGCAAUUAUUGAGGAGGACGCUCAAAAGGAGCAAGAGGAAAGUGAUGUUGCUGAUGGCAGAGAAUGCAGGGGCAGUCCACGGUGGGUGAUGUCAGCGAAUGAUGGUGGUGAGGAGGAUAGGAUGCCAACUGGGGACGACAAGUUGGAUAGAACCUCAAAGGCAUCCAUGGAGGAUGAGAAGAUGGUGGAUGUGGAGGAGGAUGCGCCAUUGGCUCCGAAAGGGCAGACAGGGAGGGCAAUAGAGGGGAGGGUCAAUGCUCAGCAUGCUACAACCAACAAUGAUGGCAUGGAGGAAAGGGUGGGGAAGGAUUCUAGCAGGGGAGGGGAAAAUGAAGUUGAUCGCGAGUUGAGGGAAAGAAUGCUGCCGGAAUCAAAGCUGGAUGGUGUUGUAGAAGAGGAAGAGACUGACAAGAGGUCUAUUGGUGGCACUGGGGAGGAAGGGCUUGUGGAGGAGCGGACUGGGAUAAGCAGCUUAGAGAAUAUGACAUUGGGGGAGUGGUUUGUUCGGAUCGAGAAAUACCUUCUAGCAAAGAACGAGGAGGCUGCUGAAAAGGCAAUAGCUGAAGUGCGAGAGAAACAUCGGCGUUUUUGCGAGCAUCUUAAAACGCUCGAGAAGAGUUCUGAUCCUUCUUGAGAUCCAUGUCAUGGUGCACAGUUCACCUGCAAUUUUGGAUUCUGCCUGACCCUUAGGAUAAUCUGGAACUACUUUGGUCAAUCUAACAUUGGGUUGGUGACACCCGGAUAUCACCAAUGAAGACAACAAUUUGCUCAAGUGUCACAAACUGUAGGAUUGUGGUGUAGCCACCAUUAGCGAGGUGGUGAUUGUGGAAGUUGUUUGUUCCAGACUUAGUAGUUGCCUGGUAAUAUUCAUGAAUGUGGAGAGAAUGUAGUACUAGUAUGUAUAAAGCAGUAGAGUUGAACUUCCAUGUAAUUCACCAUUGCAUCCGGUAGGGUUGCUUCUGUUAAGCAUGUUCUGCUAUGAUAAUUAACUGUAAUAUAUCCUGUCAUUUUGGAUCUCUGGACAAUGUUGCAUCGACCGAAGUUUGAAAAGCAACUAGAGGUAGUCAUCA